rnacentral:tRNA from 1 species
UGCGGGGGUUGCCGAGCAUGGUCUAAGGCGCCGGACUUAAGAUCCGGUGACGCAGGUCUUCGAGGGUUCGAAUCCCUUCCCCCGCAUC